rnacentral:rRNA from 1 species
UACGGGGGGAGCAAGCGUUGUUCGGAUUUACUGGGCGUAAAGGGCGCGUAGGCGGCGUGACAAGUCACUUGUGAAAUCUCCGGGCUUAACUCGGAACGGUCAAGUGAUACUGUCGUGCUAGAGUACAGAAGGGGCAACUGGAAUUCUCGGUGUAGCGGCGAAAUGCGUAGAUAUCAGGAGGAACACCGGUGGCGAAGGCGGGUCUCUGGGCCGAUACUGACGCUGAGGAGCGAAAGCGUGGGGAGCAAACAGG